UACGUAGGGUGCAAGCGUUGUCCGGAAUUAUUGGGCGUAAAGAGCUCGUAGGCGGUUUGUCGCGUCUGCUGUGAAAACUGGAGGCUCAACCUCCAGCCUGCAGUGGGUACGGGCAGACUAGAGUGCGGUAGGGGAGAUUGGAACUCCUGGUGUAGCGGUGGAAUGCGCAGAUAUCAGGAGGAACACCGAUGGCGAAGGCAGCUCGCUGGGACUGUACUGACGCUGAGGCGCGAAAGCGUGGGGAGCAAACAGG
rnacentral:rRNA from 1 species